UGGCGAACGGGUGAGUAACACGUGGUAGUCUGCCCUGCACUCUGGGAUAAGCCUGGGAAACUGGGUCUAAUACUGGAUAUGACCUUUCUCCUUAUGGGGUUUGGUGGAAAGUUUUUCGGUGUAGGAUGAGCCCGCGGCCUAUCAGCUUGUUGGUGGGGUGAUGGCCUACCAAGGCGACGACGGGUAGCCGGCCUGAGAGGGUGAUCGGCCACAUUGGGACUGAGAUACGGCCCAG
rnacentral:rRNA from 1 species